rnacentral:misc_RNA from 1 species
UUAAGUUCAGCGGGUAUCCCUACCUGAUCCGAGGUCAAAUUUCAUGGGGGUUAGCUUCUGGGAGCCAGUCCGCCGGUCUCGAGUUCGCGUUUCUGCUGCGCUCGAAGCCAACGUGCCGGCCGCCAAUAGAUUUGAGGCGAGUCCGCGCCGUGAGGCAGGGACAGACGCCCAACACCAAGCAGAGCUUGAAGGUUUGAAUG